ACGCGGUCUGCUGGCUGACCUUCAUCCCUCAGAUCUCUGACCAGAACAUGAGCUUUGGCUGUGAGGUGCAGAACACAGCCCUGCUGAAGCCCAUCUUAGAGGAGUUCACGCUGCACAUCACAGUGGAUACUACCCUGACAACGUGUCCAUUCUCUGGAUCCAGAAUGGAAAGGUUCUUCCCAACUGUACUUUGUACAUCAGUAUCUCACCCUGAGUGCGGAGGAGAGGAGCAGAGGAGGAGAGGUGCAGUGUGUGGCCAGCCACCUGAUGUGAAAGAACCUGCCUAUGGAACUAUCGACCUCUCCGCCGUUGACCCACAAGAGAAGCUGAAGUCUCUGAACAUCUCAGCGAUUGUUCUGCCCCCCAGGGUGGUUGUGAGUAAGAAAGGCAGAGUCACCAUCAGUGUGGAAGGCAGGUUGGCAGAGAGAGUACAGACCACAUGGUUUCUCAAUGAUGUCCCCAUUACAGACACUGCAUACAGAGAGAAAAAAUAUGGUCCUUUUUGCUUGGCAGCCUAUACUCCUCACAGCUCUCAUGUGUCUUUGGUGUCGGAGAAAAGCUCUCUGCUGCCCUCUGCUGCUGCCUCAGGAUAUUACAAGCUGCACACUCAGAUGUCGCCAUGCUUGUUCUCCUGCUCCAUGAAGCAGCUGUUCUCCUCGGUCACAUUUAUAACAAACCUGUCCAUUCACAAGGGUGCAGUUUUCAAAUGCCACAUCUCAUUUAAGGGCAAAGACAAGCUUGUGGCCAAGAGAGUUUCCGACAAGUUUACUAUUCAAGCACCACCUGAAGUUUCAUUGAUCCAGUUCUCAGAGUCAAAUGAGGAAGGAGGUGCAGUAUGACAAACAGUGCACACAUUAAAAUAGUGCAAACGAUGUAAAUGCAUCAUUACAGAAGGUUUUCUCUCCCCAGGCGUUGUGACCAUGAUGGCCCAGGCCUCUGGCUUUCAUCCGGACAUCACCACCUUCCGCUGGUUCUGUGAGGGCAGCGAGCUGAGCCCCGUGUCUGUCCCGCAGGUGCUGGCGGCCCCUUGGCCAGACGCUGCAGGCUUCUUCUCGGCCCUGAGCCAGUGCAGGCCCCCGCUGCAGAGCUGGAGCGAGGGGAGACCCAGGUGUGGGUCACUGUCCACCACACGGCCCUCAAACAGCGCCUCACACACCAGACUAGAGGUGACAUAACUGAGCACUUGUGAUUCAGAUAAAGACAGUGUUUAGAAUGGAGUGCAUCAGUGGUCUUGGUGCUGGAGGUAUUUUUCCAU
ensembl:lncRNA